rnacentral:rRNA from 1 species
UACGUAGGGUGCGAGCGUUGUCCGGAAUUAUUGGGCGUAAAGGGCUCGUAGCGGAUCCGCCAGUCUGAACGUGGAAAUCUACCCACCGCUCACCGGGGAGGGGCCGUUGGAUACUACGGAUCUGGAGUUCGGCGAGAGGACCAUGGAAUUUCGGGUGUAGCGGUGGAAUGCGUAGAUAUCCGAAAGAACACCGGUGGCGAAGGCGGUGGUCUGGGCCUGAACUGACGCUGAGGAGCGAAAGCCAGGGGAGCAAACGGGG